CCGAUGUUGAGGUGAUGAAUGCGUUUCAAUGUUUACAUUUGUACUGAAUAAAGUAAUCUUUCCAUGCAAUAUCAAACAGUAAUCGUUCAGUGUUGUGUGUCAAUUAUCCGCUUUUUAUUUUACGUAUAUUGUCUGUUUUUCAUUUUCCUAAUGUAGAUGCUUAGGACAGGUAAUAUUUCAAAGAGACCUCUUCUACGAUUUGUCAUUGCAGGAUUAUUCCUAGAAUAUUCUCACUACUACAAAUGUAAAACAGCUUGCAAUCCCGCUAUCGAUACCGGACCCAGUGUUCUGCGGUCCCGAGCAUCAACUUGUCCUGUGAGUUCCAGAAUCAGAUGCCUGUGCAGCAACAAUACAGCGCGAUGGAGCCCAGCCUAUACACAGCUCCUCCAGAGGUCCGAGGUCUGACUUGUUUGGAUAAAGAAGCCUUUGCCCAGACAGUUGUUGUCCCAGCCCUCCAGCGCCCAGGCAUGUUAAAGCGUGUUUGGCGGUCGAAGGCAGCGAUAAUGACAGGCUCUUGCUGCUGGACCCUGCCAGUGUCUCCUCACCCAACUCAUUCAGCGACGCCGAGGUGUUGCGGUCAUUUGGAGUACCUCAAGAGCUACAGCUGCAACAAGCUACGGCUGACCUAUGAUAACCUGAAGAGUGAGGAGGUUCUAUGCACUCUGCUUCCAGGGGGACAGGAUUUCACUCAGGGUUUAGUCAAGUGGUUCACAUUGCACAUAUGAACCUGCGGGAGCACCAGCUUCCCUACAGAAACAUCAUAGGCCAAGUCAUAAUGGAUAAGAACCCUUGGGUGACCUGUGUGGUCAAUAAGACCAACACCAUCGACUCCACCUACCGCUCCUUCAAGAUGGUGAUGGUUGGAGAGGAAAAUAUGGUGGCCAAAAACUUACUCGGAAACACGCGUGCUAUCUUCCUGUUGCCAACCUCUGUCUGCCUGCCCUGCUGAAGGGGACAGCCAGUGUACAUGUGAUGUGAAACUGCCGCAAGUGCACUGCUAUGUGUUCUCUAAGGAGUACGACCCUCAGAGAAACAUGGUGGAAAGGGCCUCAGCCAGCCUGGGGUUUUCCCUAGAGGGGCGGUGCUCUGUGCAUCUGGUGAGGAAUGUGGCCCCCAAUAAGGAGAUGUCUGUGACCUUCACUAUCCCCAAAGAGGUGCUCUUCAGCAGUAAGAAUACACACAGAAACCAUAGAAGAACCAGCGCCAAAGAGAUCUGGGGAGACGAAAGAUUGAAUAUAUUUGACCAAGGAAGUCAUUCUGGGACAUUAAAAUUAUACAUUUUGUUUUUGA